rnacentral:rRNA from 1 species
GCUCCUGAUGUUAGCGGCGGACGGGUGAGUAACACGUGGGUAACCUGCCUGUAAGACUGGGAUAACUCCGGGAAACCGGGGCUAAUACCGGAUGGUUGUUUGAACCGCAUGGUUCAAACAUAAAAGGUGGCUUCGGCUACCACUUACAGAUGGACCCGCGGCGCAUUAGCUAGUUGGUGAGGUAACGGCUCACCAAGGCAACGAUGCGUAGCCGACCUGAGAGGGUGAUCGGCCACACUGGGACUGAGACACGGCCCAGACUCCUACGGGAGGCAGCAGUAGGGAAUCUUCCGCAAUGGACGAAAGUCUGACGGAGCAACGCCGCGUGAGUGAUGAAGGUUUUCGGAUCGUAAAGCUCUGUUGUUAGGGAAGAACAAGUACCGUUCGAAUAGGGCGGUACCUUGACGGUACCUAACCAGAAAGCCACGGCUAACUACGUGCCAGCAGCCGCGGUAAUACGUAGGUGGCAAGCGUUGUCCGGAAUUAUUGGGCGUAAAGGGCUCGCAGGCGGUUUCUUAAGUCUGAUGUGAAAGCCCCCGGCUCAACCGGGGAGGGUCAUUGGAAACUGGGGAACUUGAGUGCAGAAGAGGAGAGUGGAAUUCCACGUGUAGCGGUGAAAUGCGUAGAGAUGUGGAGGAACACCAGUGGCGAAGGCGACUCUCUGGUCUGUAACUGACGCUGAGGAGCGAAAGCGUGGGGAGCGAACAGGAUUAGAUACCCUGGUAGUCCACGCCGUAAACGAUGAGUGCUAAGUGUUAGGGGGUUUCCGCCCCUUAGUGCUGCAGCUAACGCAUUAAGCACUCCGCCUGGGGAGUACGGUCGCAAGACUGAAACUCAAAGGAAUUGACGGGGGCCCGCACAAGCGGUGGAGCAUGUGGUUUAAUUCGAAGCAACGCGAAGAACCUUACCAGGUCUUGACAUCCUCUGACAAUCCUAGAGAUAGGACGUCCCCUUCGGGGGCAGAGUGACAGGUGGUGCAUGGUUGUCGUCAGCUCGUGUCGUGAGAUGUUGGGUUAAGUCCCGCAACGAGCGCAACCCUUGAUCUUAGUUGCCAGCAUUCAGUUGGGCACUCUAAGGUGACUGCCGGUGACAAACCGGAGGAAGGUGGGGAUGACGUCAAAUCAUCAUGCCCCUUAUGACCUGGGCUACACACGUGCUACAAUGGACAGAACAAAGGGGAGCGAAACCGCGAGGUUAAGCCAAUCCCACAAAUCUGUUCUCAGUUCGGAUCGCAGUCUGCAACUCGACUGCGUGAAGCUGGAAUCGCUAGUAAUCGCGAUCAG